rnacentral:rRNA from 1 species
UACGUAGGGUGCAAGCGUUGUCCGGAAUUACUGGGCGUAAAGGGCUCGUAGGCGGCCAACUAAGUCAGACGUGAAAUCCCUCGGCUUAACCGAGGAACUGCGUCUGAUACUGGAUGGCUAGAGAUUGGGAGAGGGAUGCGGAAUUCCAGGUGUAGCGGUGAAAUGCGUAGAUAUCUGGAGGAACACCGGUGGCGAAGGCGGCAUCCUGGACCAACACUGACGCUGAGGAGCGAAAGCCAGGGGAGCAAACGGG